UUGACCUCAAAUCGGGUGAGACUACCCGCU
rnacentral:rRNA from 2 species